rnacentral:lncRNA from 1 species
UAUUGAUACUUGAGAGGUUGAUGAUUCUUGUAGAUAACUUGCUGUAUCAAUGAUAAACGUGCAUUCGUUUCAUCAAAGUUGAUUGUAUUUCUCAAUUCGUCCUUCUCUGCUUCAUCUUCUUUUAGCCAUCUUUUUAAGGUAAUAUGCUUAAUUGAACUUUAUUUCGUAUUUUGUUCAUAAAAAAGUGUUCUACAAAUUUUUAGAUGAGAUGGCAUAUAAUGCCUCCAAUCACAUGCUGAUCCACAUUCUACCUCACACUUUUAUACGAAUUACCUUUGUCACAUUCAUGCUUUAGUAAGUCCCUUCUGGCAUGCUUAACCUAGAGCUCCCAAGUGAUGCUGACCAAGUUUUUGAUGACUGAAUCAUGUUUGUGGUCCAUCAGUUGACAUCGUUAAGAUUUUGUAAUGUUUCUUUUUGAGCCUUAUCUUUUUUUACAUCUCCAUAUAGAAGAGGGAACUAAGAAAUUUCAGUUAAUGAAGAUUUGAGGGACUUAUAAUUGCCCCCUUCUAUGUAUAUCACUGUCACACAUUGCUCACUCAUUUAUCUCUUCACUCUUUUAUACCGGUGACCUCUGUAAAAUUUCUGCUUUAGAAAGAUCUUCUGGCAUCUUCAGGUCGAAUUUUUCCAGAGGCGCUGGGAGUUAAGAACCCAAUCUGAUGGCAGACAAUCAUCCUUUGCAUUCACAUGUAGUGAAUGUCCUAUAAUUGACCUUACCGACAUGGCUCUCCAUGUAAUUAGAUAGGUCUCCUAUUUCAAAAUCUAGGGGCUCAAGACAAUAUGCUUUUACCUCCAAACUAACACACAAUUAUCAAUAUGAACCUAAAUUUCUACGAGCAAUAUUAAGGUGCUGAUUGGAUCUUUCCUGCUGCUGGGUAUUUUUUAAGAAUCUCCAACACAUACCUUUUUUUUCUGAUUGAUUUAUGUUUUUAUUGCAUAAUAAUUUUUCGUCAUGGGUUUACAGAUAUUGCAUAAUGGGAUUUUGUAGGUGAAACAAGUGCUGCCAGUGUGCUAGUGAAGCUUAAGUUUAAUCGAUAUACUCGGUUUCAUUACAUGAUAAUAAUUUGGAUCUUCUUGGUCGACAGGCAUAUGUGAGUUCUCUAGUUGGUUUGCAUUUUUUUCAUUCUCUUCUAGAUAUUUGUUUAUAGUGUUCUGAUAUGUUUGUUAUGGAACAUAUUUUUUUUCCAGUUUGUCGCCUAAGGGAUUGGGACCUAGGAUUUGGUCUAAUCUAAUCAUUCACGAUUGCCUGCAGCUCAGGAGGUUUUUGAGAGCAUUAGUUUUUCCCCUGUGAGGAGAGAGGGUAAUAUGGUUGCCCAUGGGUUAACUAAAUUGGUUCAUUCUCCUGUGUUUUUUGUUUUUGUGUUUAAUGGGAGGAGUACCUGAUUUUAUCCUUCCUCUUGUUACUUUGGAUGCUCUGCCUUAAUUUAUUUAAGUCCUUUUUUGGGCUGUUUCAAAAAUAAAAUAAAAUAAAAAUAUGC